UACGUAGGGGCCUAGCGUUGUCCGGAAUUAUUGGGCGUAAAGGGUGCGUAGGCGGUUGUUUAAGUUUGGUGUGAAAUCUCCCGGCUCAACUGGGAGGGUGCGCCGAAUACUGAAUGACUAGAGUGCGGGAGAGGAGAGUGGAAUUCCUGGUGUAGCGGUGAAAUGCGUAGAUAUCAGGAGGAACACCGGUGGUGUAGACGGCUCUCUGGACCGUAACUGACGCUGAGGCACGAAAGCGUGGGUAGCAAACAGG
rnacentral:rRNA from 1 species